rnacentral:rRNA from 1 species
UGCAUAGGAAUCUACCUAGUAGUAUAGGAUAGCCACUAGAAGUGGUGGGUAAUACUGUAUUAUCCCUGCGGGGGAAAGAUUUAUCGCUACAUGAUGAGCCUAUGUUAGAUUAGCUAGUUGGUGGGGUAAUGGCCUACCAAGGCAGUGAUCUAUAGCUGGUCUGAGAGGAUGAUCAGCCACACUGGAACUGAGACACGGUCCAGACUCCUACGGGAGGCAGCAGUGGGGAAUAUUGGACAAUGGGCGCAAGCCUGAUCCAGCUAUGCCGCGUGAGUGAGGAAGGCCUUAGGGUUGUAAAACUCUUUCAGUGGGGAAGAUAAUGACGGUACCCACAGAAGAAGUCCCGGCAAACUCCGUGCCAGCAGCCGCGGUAAUACGGAGGGGGCAAGCGUUGUUCGGAAUUAUUGGGCGUAAAGGGCAUGUAGGUGGUUUGGUUAGUUAAAGGUGAAAUGCCAGGGCUUAACCCUGGAGCUGCUUUUAAUACUGCCAGACUGGAGUCCGGGAGAGGAUAGCGGAAUUCCUAG